rnacentral:rRNA from 1 species
UACAGGGGGUGCAAACGUUGCUCGGAAUCAUUGGGCGUAAAGCGCACGUAGGCGGUCUGUUAUGUCGGAUGUGAAAGCCCUUGGCUCAACUGAGGAAGUGCAUCCGAAACUGGCAGGCUAGAGUACUAAAGAGGGUCGCGGAAUUCCCGGUGUAGAGGUGAAAUUCGUAGAUAUCGGGAGGAACACCGGUGGCGAAGGCGGCGAC